ensembl:lncRNA
AUGGGCCAGCAUCCCUGUGGAACGCUGUCAACAUGGGCCAGCAUCCCUGUGGAACGCUUUCAACAUGGGUCAGCAUCCCUGUGGAACGCUGUCAACAUGGGCCAGCAUCCCUGUGGAACGCUUUCAACAUGGGCCAGCAUCCCUGUGGAACGCUGUCAACAUGGGCCAGCAUCCCUGUGGAACGCUGUCAACAUGGGCCAGCAUCCCUGUGGAACGCUGUCAACAUGGGCCAGCAUCCCUGUGGAACACUUUCAACAUGGGCCAGCAUCCCUGUGGAACGCUUUCAACAUGGGCCAGCAUCCCUGUGGAACGCUGUCAACAUGGGCCAGCAUCCCUGUGGAACGCUUUCAACAUGGGCCAGCAUCCCUGUGGAACGCUUUCAACAUGGGCCAGCAUCCCUGUGGAACGCUUUCAACAUGGGCCAGCAUCCCUGUGGAACGCUUUCAACAUGGGCCAGCAUCCCUCUGGAACGCUUUCAACAUGGGCCAGCAUCCCUGUGGAACGCUUUCAACAUGGGCCAGCAUCCCUGUGGAACGCUUUCAACAUGGGCCAGCAUCCCUGUGGAACGCUUUCAACAUGGGCCAGCAUACCUGUGGAACGCUGUCAACAUGGGCCAGCAUCCUUGUGGAACGCUUUCAACAUGGGCCAGCAUCCCUGUUGAACGCUUUCAACAUGGGCCAGCAUCCCUCUGGAACGCUUUCAACAUGGGCCAGCAUCCCUGUGGAACGCUUUCAACAUGGGCCAGCAUCCCUGUGGAACUCUUUCAACAUGGGCCAGCAUCCCUGUGGAACGCUUUCAACAUGGGCCAGCAUCCCUGUGGAACGCUUUCAACAUGGGCCAGCAUCCCUGUGGAACGCUUUCAACAUGGGCCAGCAUCCCUGUGGAACGCUUUCAACACCUUGUAGAGUCAACAUGGCCCAGCAUCCCUGUGGAACGCUUUCAACUCCUUGUAGAGUCAACAUGGGCCAGCAUCCCUGUGGAACUCUUUCAACAUGGACCAGCAUCACUGUGGAACGCUUUCAACACCUUGUAGAGUCAACAUGGCCCAGCAUCCCUGUGGAAUGCUUUCAACUCCUUGUAGAGUCAACAUGGGCCAGCAUCCCUGUGGAACGCUUUCAACACCUUGUUGAGUCAACAUGGCCCAGCAUCCCUGUGGAACGCUUUCGACACCUUGUAGAGUCAACAUGGGCCAGCAUCACCUGUGGAACGCUUUCAACUCCUUGUAGAGUCAACAUGGACCAGCAUCCCUGUGGAACGCUUUCUACACCUUGUAGAGUCAACAUGGGCCAGCAUCCCUGUGGAACGCUUUCAACACCUUGUAGAGUCAACAUGGGCCAGCAUCCCUGUGGAACGCUUUCAACACCUUGUAGAGUCAACAUGGGCCAGCAUCCCUGUGGAACGCUUUCAACACCUUGUAGAGUCAACAUGGGCCAGCAUCCCUGUGGAACGCUUUCAACACCUUGUAGAGUCAACAUGGGCCAGCAUCCCUGUGGAACGCUUUCGACACCUUGUAGAGUCAACAUGGGCCAGCAUCCCUGUGGAACGCUUUCGACACCUUGUAGAGUCAACAUGGGCCAGCAUCCCUGUGGAACGCUUUCGACACCUUGUAGAGUCAACAUGGGCCAGCAUCCCUGUGGAAGGCUUUCGACACCUUGUGGAGUCAACAUGGGCCAGCAUCCCUGUGGAACGCUUUCAACACCUUGUAGAGUCAACAUGGGCCAGCAUCCCUGUGGAACGCUUUCAACACCUUGUAGAGUCAACAUGGGCCAGCAUCCCUGUGGAACGCUUUCAACACCUUGUAGAGUCAACAUGGGCCAGCAUCCCUGUGGAACGCUUUCAACACCUUGUAGAGUCAACAUGGGCCAGCAUCCCUGUGGAACGCUUUCAACACCUUGUAGAGUUAACAUGGGCCAGCAUCCCUGUGGAACGCUUUCAACACCUUGUAGAGUCAACAUGGGCCAGCAUCCCUGUGGAACACUUUCAACACCUUGUAGAGUCAACAUGGGCCAGCAUCCCUGUGGAAUGCUUUCAACUCCUUGUAGAGUUAACAUGGGCCAGCAUCCCUGUGGAACGCUUUCAACUCCUUGUAGAGUCAACAUGGGCCAGCAUCCCUGUGGAACGCUUUCAACACCUUGUAGAGUCAACAUGGGCCAGCAUCCCUGUGGAACGCUUUCAACACCUUGUAGUGUCCACGCCCUGACGAACUGA